UUCUUGACUUCAAACCAGCCAGAACCCUGAUCAUCCCCAUCUGCUCCAUCAUUUGCCAUUACCAGGUGAUCAAUGAUCUAGUCUCUGGAAAAUUUUCCAUAAACCCAAAAAUCAGUAAAAAAAAAAAAAGGACAUUAAAUAAUUAAAUAUAUAUGAAUUGAGAACUUCAGAGGAUACAACCAACUGUAUAUUCAUUUAAAAAACUGGGUUUUUCCAAUAAAUUGAUCGGGUCUUAAGCUAAAAUGCUGGUCUUGUUGAAUCUUAUCACGUCAGGGAUAGAUUGUGAUAAAUUAUACAGAAAAAGUAAUUGGGUUUUUUUAAGAAAAAAUUAAAAAUAAAUGAUGCAUUUACUUAUUGCUUAAAUCCGUGCAUUUAAGCAUGAGUCUGAGAUUUUACCAAAAUAAAAAGGGGUUUCUAUAAAAAUAAAACCAUUUUACGAAAACAGAAUGAUGAAAUUUACACAAAUACCUCUAAAUUACUGGAAUUCUUGCAUUAGGGUUCAUAUAUAACACAAUGAUUCCUAUAAUUGGGUGCUCAUUAUAUAAAAAAAAAGAGGGAAAUUGAGGCGGGAAAUAAGGCCUGCAUUUUCACACCCGAGUGAAG
rnacentral:lncRNA from 1 species